GACGAACGCUGGCGGCGUGCUUAACACAUGCAAGUCGAACGGAAAGGCCCUGCUUUUGUGGGGUGCUCGAGUGGCGAACGGGUGAGUAACACGUGAGUAACCUGCCCUUGACUUUGGGAUAACUUCAGGAAACUGGGGCUAAUACCGGAUAGGAGCUCCUGCUGCAUGGUGGGGGUUGGAAAGUUUCGGCGGUUGGGGAUGGACUCGCGGCUUAUCAGCUUGUUGGUGGGGUAGUGGCUUACCAAGGCUUUGACGGGUAGCCGGCCUGAGAGGGUGACCGGCCACAUCGGGACUGAGAUACGGCCCAGACUCCUACGGGAGGCAGCAGUGGGGAAUAUUGCACAAUGGGCGGAAGCCUGAUGCAGCAACGCCGCGUGCGGGAUGACGGCCUUCGGGUUGUAAACCGCUUUCGCCUGUGACGAAGCGUGAGUGACGGUAAUGGGUAAAGAAGCACCGGCUAACUACGU
rnacentral:rRNA from 1 species